GGGAGGGACCUGCGUGCUGGGAGAUAAAUUGUCUGCUGUGACUGCCCCAGUGUGCCUGUCCAUCAGACACCCGCUCUUGCAAGAACAUUGAUUAAAGCCUUGCUUUGCUGUGCUCCGAGUCUCCGCAUCCCUCCUUUGACUGGGUCGGCAGGGUGAUUUCUCACAGGUGUUUCAGACCACCUCUUCCCAAGGAUUUCAUCUGAGACAAGCUGAAGAGCAGUGAAAAUUCCUGAUGCCCUCCAACCACUACAGCCUACGCCAUCCUUUCAACCACCUGCCUUAUACAUUAUACUACAGCUGCCUGCAAUCCCAUGAUUCCUGCACACUGUGGGGACAGAGCUCAUGCACAUGCUGUAUCCGUGUUACAAGAGACUCCUCUACGCGCUGCCCUGGCCUCAGCCUGUGCACAUCAGCCAGGAGUGUUUGCUGUAUCCAGAGAGACAGAUUGGUCCCGUUUAAUCUAAUAAACGGAGAAGGAGCUAACAGUCACCAAGCUCUGGACUGGAACGGGGGAUACAGAGGUGAAGAGCUCAGUUUGUGUCCUUGUGGAACUCACCACCCAGAUUUGGCCCAUUGCCCUGGUCUACGGAUCUCUCUUGGGAUUCGAUCCUGGACCCGUCCACCACCUGGCCCAGGAUCAGCACCCGCGGAUCCUCCCAGCGUCCCAGGCAAGUUGGCAGUCAGCAUCUUGCACUGUGUCAAUGGGCACUCACCAUUCCCAGGGUCUCUAAUUUAUGUUUCCUCUUCAUUUCAUCUCCCUUUUGAAUAUGAGCUCCUACAAUCUCUACACUGCUUCCAAGCAGGAAUUAUGUGUCUUGAGGAAUAAUGAACCAAGAUUCGGGAGAUGUGGGUGCUAGGUUCAGCGCCGCCGCACUGUUGUCCUUUUUUUUUUUUUUUUUUUUUCCAAAAAAAAUCACUUCAUGAACGUCAUUCCCCCUCUUUGUGGUCUUGAUUUUCCCAUACGUAAAAGAGAGGGGAAAAAUGCCUGCUCUGCUUUCCUCACAGAGUUGUUACAAGAAUCAGAUAAUGAUGUAUCUAAACAUGCCAUGGGACAAUCUAAAACCCUUUUGAAAUGGAAGGUAGGACUCCAGAACAGCCAGAGCCAGAUGACAGGAGUCAGGGAGAGUCUGUGCCAUGUGGGAGACUGCUAGGGAGUCUCCAAAACCAUCAUUCCCCACCCCCACCCCAUUCACCGUAUCCAGUAAGGCAUCUUGGCCUCCACCCCCCCGCCCCGCACCAACCCCCGCAAGUUUUCAUGUCAAGCGUGGAGACCCCUCCUCAGAGAAGACGUCCCAAAAAAUCCCUCUGUGCUCGGUGGCAAGAGGGGAGUCUUCAUAAGAAGGGAGACUUUUAAAGUGCUGUUACAGCCAGUUUAACCUGUGGCCUUAUCAUGGCACAGGUUGAAGUUUCUCAAAAAUUGUCAAAGAAGAUUGCAUUCGUCACAGCAACGAACCCUUAGAAUCUUCUUUUCAUAUGUUCCUCAAGAGCUCAAAUAAAUGAUGGUGAUACCCUAAAUCUGCGUCUUUUUCACAAUGUUUGUUUAUUUAUUUAUUUUUGAG